ACGAACGCUGACGGUGUGCUUCAUACAUGCAAGUCGAACGAAGAGGUCCCCUCGGGGAUACUUCAGUGGCGGACGGGUGAGUAACGCGUAGGUAACGUACCUCAUACAGGGGGAUAACAUCGGGAAACCGGUGCUAAUACCGCAUAAGUCAUUGGUUGAAAUACUGAUGAUUAAACGGAGUAAUCCGGUAUGAGAUCGGCCUGCGUCAGAUUAGCUUGUUGGUAGGGUAACGGCCUACCAAGGCGAUGAUCUGUAGUUGGUCUGAGAGGAUGAUCAGCCACAGUGGGACUGAGACACGGCCCACACUCCUACGGGAGGCAGCAGUAGGGAAUAUUGCGCAAUGGGCGAAAGCCUGACGCAGCAACACCGUGUGUAGGAUGAAGCUUUUCGGAGUGUAAACUACUGUCAGCUGGGAAGAAUAAUGACUGUACCAGCAGAGGAAGCAUCGGCUAACUACGU
rnacentral:rRNA from 1 species